rnacentral:rRNA from 1 species
GGAUUAGAUACCCUGGUAGUCCAUGCCGUAAACGUUGGGCACUAGGUGUGGGGGACAUUCCACGUUCUCCGCGCCGUAGCUAACGCAUUAAGUGCCCCGCCUGGGGAGUACGGUCGCAAGGCUAAAACUCAAAGGAAUUGACGGGGGCCCGCACAAGCGGCGGAGCAUGCGGAUUAAUUCGAUGCAACGCGAAGAACCUUACCAAGGCUUGACAUACACCAGACCGUUCUGGAAACAGUUCCUCCCCUUUGGGGUUGGUGUACAGGUGGUGCAUGGUUGUCGUCAGCUCGUGCCG